CAGUUUGUUUUCGUGGGUUCGCAGUUCUAACCUAACCUAACCCACUUUUCUGGCAACAUUCAUUUUCUUGGGGGUCGCAGUUCUAACCUAACCUAACCCACCUUUCAGGCAACAGUUUGUUUUCGUGGGGUCGCAGUUCUAACCUAACCUAACCCACUUUUCUGGCAACAGUUCGUUUUCUCGGGGUCGCAGUUCUAACCUAACCUAACCCACUUUUCUAGUAGCAUUUCGUUUCUGUAUAGGGCGCAGUUCAAACCUAACCUAACCCACUUUUCUAGUAGCAUUCCUUUUCUGUAAGGGUCGCAGUUCAAACCUAACCUAAUCCACUUUUCUAGUAGCAUUUCUUUUCUGUAAGGGUCGCAGUUCAAACCUAACCUAACCCACUUUUCUAGUAGGAUUUCUUUUCUGUAUGGGUCGCAGUUCUAACCUAACUUAACCCACUUUUCUAGUAGCAUUUCUUUUCUGUAAGGGUCGCAGUUUAAACCUAACCUAACCCACUUUUCUAGUAGCAUUUCUUUUCUGUAAGAGUCGCAGUUCAAACCUAACCUAACCCACUUUUCUUGUAGCAUUUCGUUUCCGUAAGGGUCGCAGUUCAAACUUAACCUAACCCACUUUUCUUGUAGCAUUU